rnacentral:ncRNA from 1 species
AUUGUGUUGGGGUAAACUUCGUGAAAGCGAAGGACGCUAAAGCUAUGGGUCUACGGUUGAUUACAUGAGCAAACAUCAGCUAAGAUCGCCAAGCUACAAGU